rnacentral:rRNA from 1 species
UCAGCAGCCGCGGUAAAACGUAGGAGGCGAGCGUUAUCCGGAUUUACUGGGCGUAAAGCGCGUGCAGGCGGACUGGAAAGUUGGAUGUGAAAGCUCCUGGCUUAACUGGGAGAGGUCGUUCAAAACUACCAGACUAGAGGGCGAUAGAGGGAAGCGGAAUUCCGGGUGUAGUGGUGAAAUGCGUAGAUAUCCGGAGGAACACCAGUGGCGAAAGCGGCUUCCUGGGUCGUCUCUGACGCUCAGACGCGAAAGCUAGGGUAGCAAACGGGAUUAGAGACCCCGGUAGUCCUAGCUGUAAACGAUGUAGACUUGGCGUAGGAGGGUUUAAAUCCUUCUGUGCCGUAGCAAACGCGAUAAGUCUACCGCCUGGGGACUACGGCCGCAAGGUUAAAACUCAAAGGAAUUGACGGGGGCCCGCACAAGC